rnacentral:sRNA from 1 species
GGUUUGAGGAUGUUGGGUGGCAAGUUAAUUGAUGGCACAGAGUCGCCGCGCUUUUUCCUGAACCAUUCAGCUUUCUUGUGUGUUUGAAUAGGAAUGAAAUGGAAGUGUAUGAGCAAGGACGAACCAAUCCCAUCCCUUCAACAAAAGAGGAAAGGGAAAAAAAAAAAAAAAAGGAGAAGUAAAAAGAAAAUCAAGCACAGAGGAAUGGGGAUAGAAGAGUAGGUUUGAACAUCAAAUGAACACCCGGUGUCAAAAACACUCUACGUACUAUCCCCAAAUCAACGCACCACAUGAAUGAUAACUUGUACAUAGUCCCCGAGAGUCAACCUGAACAUCGUUGACAUAUCAUCCCAUCUUUAACACUUAAGUAUAACAUGUUUGGGUCACAAAAACCCUAUAUAUAUAUAUAUAUAACCUCCACACCCCACAUGGGAAAGAAUUUAAUUCAAAUCAUGAC